rnacentral:tRNA from 1 species
GCUGUUAUAGCUCAGUGGUAGAGCACUUCCUUGGUAAGGAAGAGGUCACGAGUUCAAGCCUCGUUAACAGCU